rnacentral:rRNA from 1 species
CUUAGACAUGCAAGUCGAACGCACAGCGAAGGUGCUUGCACCUUUCAGUGAGUGGCGAAGGGUGAGUAACACGUGGACACCUGCCUCAAGGCUGGGGAUAACAUUUGGAAACAGAUGCUAAUACCGAAAAAACUUAGUGUCGCAUGACACAAAGUUAAAAGGCGCUUCGGCGUCACCUAGAGAUGGAUCCGCGGUGCAUUAGUUAGUUGGUGGGGUAAAGGCCUACCAAGACAAUGAUGCAUAGCCAAGUUGAGAGACUGAUCGGCCACAUUGGGACUGAGACACGGCCCAAACUCCUACGGGAGGCUGCAGUAGGGAAUCUUCCACAAUGGGCGAAAGCCUGAUGGAGCAACGCCGCGUGUGUGAUGAAGGCUUUCGGGUCGUAAAGCACUGUUGUAUGGGAAGAACAGCUAGAAUAGGAAAUGAUUUUAGUUUGACGGUACCAUACCAGAAAGGGACGGCUAAAUACGUGCCAGCAGCCGCGGUAAUACGUAUGUCCCGAGCGUUAUCCGGAUUUAUUGGGCGUAAAGCGAGCGCAGACGGUUUAUUAAGUCUGAUGUGAAAGCCCGGAGCUCAACUCCGGAAUGGCAUUGGAAACUGGUUAACUUGAGUGCAGUAGAGGUAAGUGGAACUCCAUGUGUAGCGGUGGAAUGCGUAGAUAUAUGGAAGAACACCAGUGGCGAAGGCGGCUUACUGGACUGCAACUGACGUUGAGGCUCGAAAGUGUGGGUAGCAAACAGGAUUAGAUACCCUGGUAGUCCACACCGUAAACGAUGAACACUAGGUGUUAGGAGGUUUCCGCCUCUUAGUGCCGAAGCUAACGCAUUAAGUGUUCCGCCUGGGGAGUACGACCGCAAGGUUGAAACUCAAAGGAAUUGACGGGGACCCGCACAAGCGGUGGAGCAUGUGGUUUAAUUCGAAGCAACGCGAAGAACCUUACCAGGUCUUGACAUCCUUUGAAGCUUUUAGAGAUAGAAGUGUUCUCUUCGGAGACAAGUGACAGGUGGUGCAGGGUCGUCGUCAGCUCGUGUCGUGAGAUGUUGGGUUAAGUCCCGCAACGAGCGCAACCCUUAUGGUUGUUGCCAGCA